rnacentral:rRNA from 1 species
AUUGAACGCUGGCGGUAUGCUUAACACAUGCAAGUCGAACGGUAACAGGUCUUCGGUUGCUGACGAGUGGCGGACGGGUGAGUAACGCGUAGGAAUCUGCCUAUUAGUGGGGGACAACAUGUGGAAACGCAUGCUAAUACCGCAUACGCCCUGAGGGGGAAAGGAGGGGACUCUUCGGAGCCUUUCGCUAAUAGAUGAGCCUGCGUUAGAUUAGCUGGAUGGUGGGGUAAAGGCCUACCAUGGCGACGAUCUAUAGCUGUUCUGAGAGGAAGAUCAGCCACACUGGGACUGAGACACGGCCCAGACUCCUACGGGAGGCAGCAGUGGGGAAUAUUGGACAAUGGGCGCAAGCCUGAUCCAGCAAUACCGCGUGUGUGAAGAAGGCCCUAGGAUUGUAAAGCACUUUCAAUUGGGAGGAAAAAACAAGGGCUAAUACCUCUUGUCUUGACAUUACCUUUAGAAGAAGCACCGGCUAACUCCGUGCCAGCAGCCGCAGUAAAAC